rnacentral:snRNA from 1 species
UUGCUUUGGCAGCACAUACACUAAAAUUAAAUAACUCAGAGAAGAUUAGCCAGGCCCUUGCAAAAGAUGACACACAAAUUCAUGAAGCACUCUAUGGAUUU